UUGAAACAUGUCAUAUACAUGAAGUUAUCUUGUUACCUUCAAAACACUGACAGUACAAUGUAGUGGCAAUGCAGUCUUCCUUAUAUUGUCACACUGAUGUGCCUUAACUGAGUUCUACAUGGACCAUCUCAAUGGGUGAGAGGGUAGUUAAAUCCUGCAUAGCCCAUUCAAUCCUUGGCCGUG
ensembl:misc_RNA